UACAGAGGCCCCGAGCAUUAUCCGGAAUCACUGGGCGUAAAGGGUGUCUAGGCGGCCAUGUUAGUCGUGUGUAAAAUCCGCGGGCUCAACCUGCGGCGCGCACGCGAAACGGCAUGGCUCGAGGGCGCGAGAGGCAUACGGAACUCAUGGUGGAGGGGUGAAAUCCGUUGAUAUCAUGGGGAACACCAAAGGCGAAGGCAGUAUGGCUAGGCGCGUUCCUGACGCUCAAACACGAAAGCCAGGGGAGCGAACGGGAU
rnacentral:rRNA from 1 species